AGCUGUAGGAGGAAGUUGUGCUGUUGGAGAGGCUGAGCAGUACACACCAUAUCAGGCACAAGGAAGGCCGGCCUGAGCAUCAACAGCACCUGAAGGACACGGAUAUUAACAUUGAACUGGGGGAAAGAUCCUGGCUGAAAGGAUUUCAUCCAUAUGACUGCUAAAGCAUGUGAAGCGGAGCAAAAAUCCUCACAGCUCAACACAAAGCAAGAAACAAGAUUCCGGGAGGUGUACUUUAUACCAGUACAAAAAAAAAGCUGAACUGCAGUUUCAAAACUCUGUGUGUAUGGCAGAAAAAAC